rnacentral:lncRNA from 1 species
CUCCUCUGUCCGUGGGAUUCUUCAGGCAAGAAGACCGGAGUGGGUUGCCGUGCCCUUCUCCAGAGUGUCUUCUCGACCCAGGGAUGGAACCCAGGUCUCCUGCGCUGCAUGCAAGCUCUUUACCGCCGAGUCACCGGGAAAGCCCUCAAGGGUAUACACACACACAUGAACAGCUGUCGUCACUCACAAUGGCUGCAACAUUGGCCCCAGCCCAGCUCAGAGAGGCUGGCAGCCGGAUCUCGGGUGGAUGGGACAGAGGAGACCCAGGACACCGAGGGUAAUUGGGGCAGCCUCACCAGCUGAGUGCCUCUCUCCUGCUUCCAAGGCUUCCACAUUCCAGAUCUGUUUCUCAGCAAAUUCACAGGUACUGGCCAGAAACAAGGGUCGCAUUUGGGUGUCACGGUCAGGCAGGUUUGCUUUUAAAUCCAGGCUUUGCCUUGUUGCUUGUGCAGCUAUACGUGCAUGACCUAACCACUGAACAGUAAAUUCUCUGCAGCACAAAGGGCUUGGCCAAACGCCACAGCUAGGAAACUUCAGCCCAGCUUCCAUCUGCGUUAGAUCGCCUUAAGGUGACCCCUGCCCUGGGACUGAAUUCUUGCUCAAGAAAGUGCAAUGUUGUCAUAUUGCAAAAUCCACAUUGUCCCAACCUACCCUUCCAAACCAUUUCCAGUAAUUCUCCUUCAUCCCCUUCUGUAAUUGCUCAUUUUCCCUAUAACCCACCUAGUUCCUUCUUUCUUACCUCGUUUCAUUCCCUAUAACCUCCUUUUCUGACUCCCUCUCUGUUCUCCAUUAACCUCAGUUAUCUUUGUAUUAGCUGGAGCUGACCUGUUUAUGGUGGAAUCUCUGUCCUCUAUGCAGAAGUCUGAAUAAAAUCUAUCUUGCCAUCAGUAAGACAUGUCCAGCCCCAUUUUUCUUUGACGAGAUUCGGCUUCCUGACCUGGAAAAUGGAGAUGUGAGUGUUAUUCUUCUGUACAUUACUCUGUGAUUACGACUACACUCACAGUAACAGGUGGUGGGGCCAUUUGGACUGUUUCCUGAAGCAGAAACCACAUUCGUUAAGUGUGCAAAUGUUGAUGGCGUACUGACUAGGAGAAAGACUCCCAGGUACACAAAAGCAAAAGCAACAGUUGAAAGUGGAACCGUUUGUCUCAGAUUGGGACUUGAAUCCAUGUGGCUGGGACUUGAACCCAGCUUAAACCCAGAGUGCCUGGUCUCAGGACCUAAUGAAGCUCAGGCUCUUGAUGUCUCAUUGCAGAAAGAAUUCAGUGAGAGACAAAGUGAUAGGUAAGAAGCGGAUUUAUUUGAAGAGGAACAUACUCCACAGACAGGGUGUGGACUAUCUCAGAUGGUGAGUCUGGCCACCUCAAAAUGUGGUGUGGUUCAUUUUUAUGGGCUGGGUAAUUUCAUAGGCUAAUGAGUGAGAGGAUUAGUCCAGCUAUUUUGGGGAAGUGGUGGAGAUUUCCAGGAGCUGGGCUACUGCUCACUUUUUGGUCUUUUGGUGGUACCUUGGAACUGUCAUGGUGCCUCGGAGUAUAUCAUUUAGCUUACUGAUAGAGGAUCAAGGUCUAAUCAAAGUUGAAUUGUCUGCCAUCUGGGACCCACUGCUUUUAAUUGGUUUAUGGUAUAUCUUGGGGCUAUGUCAUUCUUUCAGAAGUUGUGCCCUGCCGCCUUCCCUCCUGUUUCAAAAGCAUCUUUACAUUUGUCUGCUGCGAAGGAGAAUGUGGGUCUAUUAAAGUGUGGACAACGUAUGCAAGACAGGCUAGCAGGAGAGGGGUGGGGUGGAAGUGGGGGCUAACGUAGCAAAAAAGAGGUGGGAACGUUCAGGAUUAGGUUGCAAAGGGUCCUGUAUGAGAGAGCAAGUGCUUGGAUUUCAUUUUUUAGCCAGCAGGAGAGUUGAAACUGUUGUAGCCAUGCGUUCUGGGAAACAGACUCACUCAGAAGGACAACGCAGAUAGUGGAGUGCAGUUUAUUACACCGUUGGGCUCAAGGCAGAGUCUCCUCUUAGCCAAGGAUCCCAACCAGUUUCUGUGAAAACGUUAUAUACCCUAAGCAUACAUGCCCAAACCUACCUCCCCAAAUUCCCUGAAACUAGUCUGAACAAAGGAAAAGAAAGAUACAAUCAAAGUUAACCCAUGAUUCGUAUGCCUUAAGCCUAGGUAGUUAGCAGGGGACAAUGAUCAAUAGGCCUGUGGUUAUACUCCAAUAAGCAUAAUAGAAUUUAUGAUUCUGUUAGGUUACACAGAUAAUUACGGUAUUUUUUUUCAGGCGAUGGAGAGUCUAGGUAUGAGCCCUGGGGCUCUUCCACUCGGGGGGUCUGAUUUUCCAGUUGGUAUGUCGUUUCCAUAGAUACAGGGCAUAUAGCUCAAAGUCCACAGUCCGGCCCAAGAUGGAGUCCUGCUUUCAAGAUGGAACCUGUUCUGUCUGUUUCCUCCUUCAAAACCACAAGGUGAGCUUUGCCAGCCAGGACAAGGUAUUAGGUGUAAG